AACCCUCCCCCCCUCCGGUCUCUCUCUUUCAGGUAGCGGAAGCCGUGGCAACGUUCCUCAUCCGUCACAGGUUCACGGAGCCCAUCGGCGGAUUUCAAUGUGUUUUUCCUGCUUGUUAGUACCACACCCCUCCGAUGGUCCCUCCUGCACCUCUUGUAAAUAAACCAACAUCGGACGCAUCGUGGCAUGUCCCAUCUCUUCCCCGUCAUCCGCCACCGACCCAUCGGUACAAAUCUCACCGCGAAGAAACCGGGUGUCCGGCUCAGUUUUUCUGUUUCUCGCCACUUCAUCCUGGCUGGACCCCCCCACCCCUUUGCCCCUUCCCCCGAAAUCGUCAGAUCCUGGCUUGUUUCUUCCUUAAAUGGCUAUCGGCGGGUAAUCCAGGAUGUUGGGUAAACUCCGGCUUUUUUUGGGGGGGAGGAAUUUCAUCCAACCUUCCUCGCUUCACCCACUCUCCCGACUUGUGCGUACGCGGCCACUGUUUUCCGACAGCCGAGGCAUUAUUCUCCCACGCAUGAAAGGGGCGGCCCUUUCCCGAACCCGGCACCAUCCAAAACGCCCCACCCGGUGCGCAGUUUCCAAAAUGGCUGGCUAGCCAGCCAGCCACCCGAUUCGCUUGCAACCCCAGCAUGUCUGAACCGUGCCAGGGUGGGGUAGCCUCACCUGGUGAAUUGUCUUCUCUGUGUCUGCAGUGUUUGUGCCCCUCGGUGACUUUAAUACGGGACGGACGGACGGAACUAGAACUCCCAGAAUUCUGGGAGUUCUAGUUCCGUCCGUCUGUCCCCCGGUGUCUUUAAAGCCACCAAGGUUGACAAAUGCUCUUAUUCGGAAGUUCUCGCGCAGCACAACCGGGGAAGGAAGCUGCCCCGUUGAACGUCCACCUGUUUAAAUCGUUCGCUGAUCCUUCGUCCGGAUGAUCCCCCUCCCCUCCUAGAUCCAGAUCCAGAUCCAGAUCCAGAAAUGCAACCAAAUGUUUUCCGCGAGCCACACAAAGGUUUUCCAGGCGUUUUCCUGGCUGUCCCCGGGAGAUUCACAACCCAAACUCCUCCUUCCCUUUCUGAACCUGCCUUCGACGCUUUUAUUUGGGAACAAGGAAAGGGAGUGGGGUGGAAAUAGGGGGUGAGGAUUGUGGAGAGGCGCAAUUCAGGGGUGGUUGCAGGCUCCCCCACCCUCCUCUCAAAGCUUUGGGGGUUAUUUUCCUGUUCUUCACCUCCGGUGGCCAAACCGUUUUUUGGGGGGGUGCCUUGAGUUCAAAUAAAGUGGAAAGAAUCUGCAAA